rnacentral:rRNA from 1 species
AACGAACGCUGGCGGCAUGCCUAACACAUGCAAGUCGAACGAGACCUUCGGGUCUAGUGGCGCACGGGUGCGUAACGCGUGGGAACCUGCCUUUAGGUUCGGAAUAACUCAGAGAAAUUUGAGCUAAUACCGGAUAAUGUCUUCGGACCAAAGAUUUAUCGCCUUUAGAUGGGCCCGCGUUGGAUUAGCUAGUUGGUGGGGUAAAGGCCUACCAAGGCGACGAUCCAUAGCUGGUCUGAGAGGAUGAUCAGCCACACUGGGACUGAGACACGGCCCAGACUCCUACGGGAGGCAGCAGUGGGGAAUAUUGGACAAUGGGCGAAAGCCUGAUCCAGCAAUGCCGCGUGAGUGAUGAAGGCCUUAGGGUUGUAAAGCUCUUUUACCCGAGAUGAUAAUGACAGUAUCGGGAGAAUAAGCUCCAGCUAACUCCGUGCCAGCAGCCGCGGU